rnacentral:rRNA from 1 species
CCUACGGGAGGCAGCAGUGGGGAAUAUUGCGCAAUGGGCGAAAGCCUGACGCAGCGACGCCGCGUGAGGGAUGAAGGUCUUCGGAUCGUAAACCUCUGUCAGCAGGGAAGAACGGUCACUGUGCUAAUCAGCAGUGAACUGACGGUACCUGCAAAGGAAGCACCGGCUAACUCCGUGCCAGCAGCCGCGGUAAUACGGAGGGUGCGAGCGUUAAUCGGAAUUACUUGGCGUAAAGCGCUCGUAGGCGGUAUGUCAAGUCAAGGGUGAAAUCCCCGCGCUCAACGUAGGAACUGCCUUUGAGACUAGCAAACUAGAGUGUGUGAGAGGAAAGUGGAAUUCCAGGUGUAGGGGUGAAAUGCGUAGAUAUAUGGAGGAACAUCAGUGGCGAAGGCGACUAUCUGGCACAAAACUGACGCUGAGGGGCGAAAGCGUGGGUAGCAAACAGGAUUAGAUACCCUAGUAGUC